rnacentral:rRNA from 1 species
UACGAAGGGGGCUAGCGUUGCUCGGAAUCACUGGGCGUAAAGGGCGCGUAGGCGGAUUUUUAAGUCAGGGGUGAAAGCCCGAGGCUCAACCUCGGAACUGCCUUUGAUACUGGGAAUCUUGAGACCGGUAGAGGUAAGUGGAACUGCGAGUGUAGAGGUGAAAUUCGUAGAUAUUCGCAAGAACACCGGUGGCGAAGGCGGUUCACUGGUCCGGAACUGACGCUGAGGCACGACAGCGUGGGGAGCAAACAGG